UUGAAGUUCAGGUAACACUGAAUGGAGGACCGAACCGACUUACGUUGAAAAGUGAGCGGAUGAACUGAGGGUAGCGGAGAAAUUCCAAUCGAACCUGGAGAUAGCUGGUUCUCUCCGAAAUAGCUUUAGGGCUAGCCUCAAGUGAUGAUUAUUGGAGGUAGAGCACUGUUUGGACGAGGGGCCCCUCUCGGGUUACCGAAUUCAGACAAACUCCGAAUGCCAAUUAAUUUAACUUGGGAGUCAGAACAUGGGUGAUAAGGUCCGUGUUCGAAAGGGAAACAGCCCAGACCACCAGCUAAGGUCCCAAAAUAUAUGUUAAGUGGAAAAGGAUGUGGCGUUGCCCAGACAACUAGGAUGUUGGCUUAGAAGCAGCCAUCAUUUAAAGAGUGCGUAAUAGCUCACUAGUCGAGUGACACUGCGCCGAAAAUGUACCGGGGCUAAACAUAUUACCGAAGCUGUGGAUUGUCCUUUGGACAAUGGUAGGAGAGCGUUCUAAGGGCGUUGAAGCAUGAUCGUAAGGACAUGUGGAGCGCUUAGAAGUGAGAAUGCCGGUGUGAGUAGCGAAAGACGGGUGAGAAUCCCGUCCACCGAUUG
rnacentral:rRNA from 1 species